rnacentral:rRNA from 1 species
GACGAACGCUGGCGGCGUGCUUAAUACAUGCAAGUCGAACGGAAAGGCCCUGCCUGUGGGGGGUGCCCGAGAGGGGAACGGGGGAGCAACAGGUGAGUAACCAGCCCGUGACUUUGGGAUAACGCCAGGAAACAGGGGCGAAUACAGGAUAGGAGCUCCCGCUGCACGGUGGGGGUCGGAAAGUUUCGGUGGUUGGGGAUGGUCGCGCGGCUUAUCAGGUAGCUGGUGGGGUAGUGGCGUACCAAGGCUUUGAGGGGUAGCCGGCCUGCGAGGGUGACCGGCCACAUUGGGCCUGAGGUACGGCCCGGACUCCUACGGGGGGCAGCAGUGGGGAAUAUUGCGCGAUGGGCCGAGGCCGUGUGCAGCGACGCCGCGUGCUGGAUGACUGCCUUCGGGUUGUAAACCGCUUUCGCCUGUGACGAUGCGUGCGUGACGGUAAUGAGUAAAGAAGCACCGGCUAACUACGUG